rnacentral:lncRNA from 1 species
CGUUUGGGGUCUUUAUGGGGUGGGAUAUUUGGGUUCCUGUGGGGUGCGACGUUUCUGUCGUUAUGGGACGUUUGGGGACGUUAUGGGGUGGCGUGGGAUGUUACGGGAACUUAUGGGGUGGGGUAUUUAGGGUCCUUAUGGGGUGGGACUGGUGUGACCCCAAAAGUGGGACAGCGGAGUCCCCAUGGGAUGGGACAUUUAGGGUCCUUAUGGGAUGGGACAUUUAGGGUCCUUAAGGGGUGGGACCUUUGGGUUCCUAUGGGAUUGGAACAUUUCUGCCCUUAUGGGACAUUUACGGACAUUAUGGGAUAGGAUGGAAUGUUUUGGGACCUUAUGGGAUGGGACAUUUGGGGUCCUUAUGGGGUGGGACGUUUGGGGUCCCUAUGGGAUGGGACAGAUGGGACCCCAAAAGUGGGACAGCUGGGACCCCAUGGGGUGGGACAUUUGGGGUCCCUAUGGGGUGGGACAUUUAGGGUCCCCAUGGAAUGGGACAUUUGGGGUCCUUAUGGGAUGGGACAUUUCUGUCCUUAUGGGACAUUUGGGGACAUUAUGGGAUGGGGUGGAAUGUUUCAGGACCUUAUGGGAUGGGACAUUUGGGGUCCUUAUGGGGUGGGACGUUUGGGGUUCUUAUGAAAUGGGACAGCUGGAACCCCAAAAGUGGGACAGCUGGGACCCCGUGGGGUGGGACAUUUGGGGUCUGUAUGGGAUGGGACAUUUAGGGUCCCCAUGGGAUGGGAUAUUUGGGUCCUUAUGGGAUGGGAUAUUUGGGGUUCUCAUGGGGUGGGACAGCUGGGACCCUAUGGGGUGGGACAUUUGGGGUCUGUAUGGGGUGGGAUAUUUGGGGUGCCCUUGGGAUGAAACAUUUGGGAUCCUUAUGGGGUGGGACAUUUGGGGUCUUUAUGGGGUAUGAAACAGCUGGGACCCCAAAGGAGAGACAGCUGGGACCCUAUGGGGUGGGACACUUGGGGUCCUUAUGGGGUGGGACAUUUGGGAUCCCAAAAGUAGGACAGGUGGGACCCCAUAAGUGGGAUAUUUGGGGUCCCCAUGGGAUGGGACAUUUGGGGUCCCCAUGGGGUGGGACAGCUGGGAUCCCAAAAGUGGGACAGCUGGGACUCCAUGGGGUGGGACAUUUAGGGUCCUUAUGGAGUGGGAUAUUAAGGGUCCUUACGGGGUGGGACAUUUGGGGUCCCCAUGGUAUGAGACAGCUGGGACCCCAAAGGUGGGACAGCUGGGACCCUAUGGGGUGGGAUAUUUGGGGUCCUUAUGGGAUGGGACAGCUGGGA